rnacentral:rRNA from 1 species
CCUACGGGAGGCAGCAGUGAGGAAUAUUGGUCAAUGGGCUUACGCCUGAACCAGCCAAGUCGCGUGAGGGAAGACUGCCCUAUGGGUUGUAAACCUCUUUUGUCAGGGAGCAACGCCGGCUACGUGUCGCCGGACUGAGAGUACCUGAAGAAAAAGCAUCGGCUAAUUCCGUGCCAGCAGCCGCGGUAAUACGGGGGAUGCGAGCGUUAUCCGGAUUUAUGGGGUUUAAAGGGUGCGUAGGCGGAAUGCCAAGUCAGCGGUAAAAUCGCGGGGCUCAACCUCGCUCCGCCGUUGAAACUGGGGUUCUAGAGUGGGCGAGAGGUAGGCGGAAUGCGUGGUGUAGCGGUGAAAUGCAUAGAUAUCACGAAGAACUCCGAUUGCGAAGGCAGCAUACCGGCGCCCAACUGACGCUGAAGCACGAAAGCGUGGGUAUCGAACAGGAUUAGAUACCCCAGUAGUC